rnacentral:rRNA from 1 species
AGUGAACGCUGGCGGUAGGCCUAACACAUGCAAGUCGAACGGCAGCACAGGAGAGCUUGCUCUCUGGGUGGUGAGUGGCGGACGGGUGAGGAAUACAUCGGAAUCUACUCUGUCGUGGGGGAUAACGUAGGGAAACUUACGCUAAUACCGCAUACGACCUACGGGUGAAAGCAGGGGACCUUCGGGCCUUGCGCGAUUGAAUGAGCCGAUGCCGGAUUAGCUAGUUGGCGGGGUAAAGGCCCACCAAGACGACGCUCCGUAGCUGGUAUGAAAGGAUGUGCAGCCACGCUGGAGCUGAAGCACGGUACAGACUCCUACGGGAGGCAGCAGUGGGGAAUAUUGGACAAUGGGCGCAAGCCUGAUCCAGCCAUACCGCGUGGGUGAAGAAGGCCUUCGGGUUGUAAAGCCCUUUUGUUGGGAGAGAAAUCCAGCUGGCUAAUACCCGGUUGGGAUGACGGUACCCAAAGAAUAAGCACCGGCUAACUUCGUGCCAGCCGCCGCCGUAA